rnacentral:rRNA from 1 species
UACAGAGGGUGCGAGCGUUAAUCGGAAUUACUGGGCGUAAAGCGCGCGUAGACGGUUUUGUAAGUCAGAUGUGAAAUCCCUGGGCUCAACCUGGGAACUGCAUUUGAGACUGCAUGGCUAGAGUAUCGAAGAGGGAAGUGGAAUUUCCGGUGUAGCGGUGAAAUGCGUAGAUAUCGGAAGGAACACCAGUGGCGAAGGCGGCUCACUGGCCCGAUACUGACGCUGAGGCACGAAAGCGUGGGGAGCAAAAGGG